rnacentral:rRNA from 1 species
AGGAUGGAGAGUUUGAUCCUGGCUCCGGAUGAACUAUGGCGGCAGGCUUAAUACAUGCAAGUCGAACGGUAAGGCCGAGCGUAGCAAUACGUGAGGUACACGAGUGGCGCACGGGUGCGUAACGCGUAUGCAACCUGCCCCUAACCGGGACAAAACAGCUGGAAACGGCUGCUAAUAUCCCAUGGCCAUGCGAGGCGGCAUCGCCUUGCAUGUAAAGAUUCAUUGGUUAGGGAUGGGCAUGCGUAUUAUUAGGUAGUUGGUGGGGUAACGGCCCACCAUGCCGACGAUGGUUAGGGGUUCUGAGUGGAAGGUCCCCCACAUUGGAACUGAGACACGGUCCAGA